CCCUUAGAUGUUCUGGGCCGCACGCGCGCUACACUGAUGCAUUCAACGAGCCUAUCCUUGACCGACAGGUCCGGGUAAUCUUUGAAUCUGCAUCGUGACGGGGAUAGAUUAUUGCAAUUAUUAAUCUUCAACGAGGAAUGCCUAGUAGGCGCAAGUCAUCAGCUUGCGUCGAUUACGUCCCUGUCCUUUGUACACACCGCCCGUCGCUCCUACCGAUUGAAUGGUUUAGUGAGGACUCCUGAUUGGCGCCGCCGUCCCGGCAACGGAGCAGCGGACUGCCGAAAAGUUGUUCAAACUUGAUCAUUUAGAGGAAGUAAAAGUCGUAACA
rnacentral:rRNA from 1 species